rnacentral:lncRNA from 1 species
GGAACUGGAGACAUUCCCCAUUUAAAAAUGUCUGAACGAGACACUCCCUCCCCCCAACCCUUGAAUUCAUUUACUUCUUCGUCUCCUUUCAUCUUCACACAAACUCUAGCCGCUGAAAAUCGAAUUCCAGCGGUGCUGCUCUAAAUCAGCGCCUAAAUACCUUCAAAUUAACCCAAACCUUCACCACAUAGUCCUCGUAAUCUCCCUUUCCAAAUUCCCUCAAAUCUCUCCAAUUUCAAAUUUGAUACCAAACCCUAAUUCACUGGAACCACCCCAAGUUCACACCCUGCAAUCACCAAGCUCUCCCAAACCCAAAACACCCAACAAUUUCCCCUAAUAACCUUCGAAACACGUCAAAUUUUUAUCUAGGGUUAGACCUCUUUGUGUUUUUCGGGAUUUUGCUCGUUUUGGCAUGAAGUUUUCCCAACUAGGUUACUCUUGACUAGAGUGACCAUUUGGGUCAACUUCAGGCCUUUCAAAGCAUAUUGAUGCUUGGCCAGUCCUCCGCCUUAUUUUCUCGGUCUUUUUUUCAAAAUUCAACCGGUAAAUCCUUCACCUCUAUUCUUCGUUUCUAUUUUAUUUUUGUUUUUGUGUUCUCGUUAUUUUUCUUUAUUUCUUUCUUUUCUUCUUCAUAGGUUUUGUUUGAGUGAUAGUUUAGAACGAUCAUCAAGCAAGUUUCAUCCACUUUUAAUUAAUCAAUUGUGCUUAAAUCUUUGUUAGUAUGUUUAAAUUUUUGGUUAAUUAUAAAUUACUUUAUAUAAAUGGGAGGGUAAAAUUAGGUUUUUACGUAGGUCAAAUGUCAUAAGGUUCUAGAUUUUGCACAGCUGUCCCCAUCCUUAGAAUAAAAAUAUUGAUAUUGGAUAAUAAAAUGGCCAGACAGCUGUAAAAAUGGUGUUGCACUAUUCUAAAAUUUCAAAAUUAGGUCAGAAUAUUCUCUUUUGAUGUUAUUUUUGUACACUUUAUAAAAGGGAAUAUCAUUCACUCACUCACAUAGACAUUCAUGAUCAUUUUCUGCACAAAAAUGUUCUGAGAAACACAUUAAAUUUUUAUAAACCUAAAAAAGGCACUAAAAGUUCAGUUACUGUUUCAUUGCUAGCUUAUCAGUUUCCUUGCUGAUUUCGACCUAAGUUAGAAUAAAUUUUUCCUCUAAAAUUUAUGGGUUCUUAAGUUGCAAGAUGUCUUGAGUUCGAAUGUUGUGAUAUUGCUGGUUUGGCUGCUUAGUUUCAUUAGUUUUCUGCUAUGUUCUUGCUGCUUUUUCCUUGAAGAUUCAUAACCUUGUUCUUAUUCUUUGUGACCAAGUAUAUCUUGAGCUUUGAAUCAUGAAUAAAAUCUUCUUUUUGAAGAAUGUCUUACUGCUAUGGAGCUUUAGAGUUUAUAUUUACACAUUUUAUUUCUUUUUUGAUGUUUACCUUUAAGUCAUGUGAAUACUGCUAUUUUUGGCUUUCUUAUUAGUUUAUGUGUAGUUACAUUUAAGUCUUGUAGUAACGAUUCAUGAAAUAGACAGGAUAUUCAGUAUUGAUAGGAUUUAAAUAACACCUCUUGCAUAUGCUGGGUUUAGUCUUAGUAGUCUAGUUUAAAAAUGUUUACUUUCAGUCUUUUUACCUCCAUGUGAUUCUGUCCAAUAAUUUUACUGAUUGUUAAUACGUGAGCUUUCCAUAAGUGUUGGGUAUGGUCAAAAAUAGGCAAUGACUUAGGCUUGAGUACAUUUGGCUGGAGUGUUUCAGCAUUACUAAAAUGUGUAAAAUUAAUAUAUGCGCCUGCUGCUUCAUGAGCAACUAUUGUAAUUUUUUUAGCGUUUCUAUAGUGCUCAGUUCCUGCUAGAUAAAUUGGAAAUCGAAAUGGGCAUCAACAUAUAGGCUAUAUCUUUUUGAAUCUGCAGUUCUAGUGGAAAUCUUAAUUGUGCAGUACUCAUUUAACUUUAGCAUUUAGUGAUCAAAAAAUGUGAAUCUUAUGUUUAUUGGUUGGAAAUUCAUUCAACUAUUUAGAAAGUAACCGCUUCUUUUAGUUAUGAUUUGGGUCAUGACUUAUCCGAAUGGGCCUACUCACAGGCUAUUUAUAAAUGGGAUUUUUACAUGUACAUCCUAUAUAGCAAAUCUUAUAACCUCUCAUGUUUAAGGUUAGUGUUUAUUACAAUUAAGUAUAUCACCUUUCAAUUUAUGUACCAAAUUAAGGUUUAAGGAUCAACUAUU